GGCAAGGAAACAAGCAUUGGUGUUGCGGGUCUUCCAAGAAGCAAGAGCCCAGGCACUUUGAUGUUCCACACUUGGUUGAAAAAUUAAACAGAAGCAAUGAAAGAAAGACAUGCAACAAAGAAUGAGAUCAUAGAAAAAAACAAAAAAGAACUGAAGACAACUAUGAAAAACAUCAUGUUGGUAGAAGAAAUGAACAUACAUCAACUUUCAAAUUUAUCACUUUUUAUUAUUUUGGAAGAAAAUCCCAUCUAAUACACACACUCAAAAGUAAUAAUAACAAAAACUGCUGCUAAACUUUCCCAACUAUAUAGAUCA